ACGCUGGCGGCGUGCCUAACACAUGCAAGUCGAGCGAGAAGUAAAGAAAUGAAGCUUCGGUAGAUUUUCAUUAUGGAAAGCGGCGGACGGGUGAGUAACGCGUAGGCAACCUGCCCUGUACAGGGGGAUAGCCACCCGAAAAGGUGAUUAAUACCCCAUGAUGCAAGAGAUACACAUGUAUCACUUGUCAAAGAUUUAUCGGUAUGGGAUGGGCCUGCGUCUGAUUAGCUAGUUGGUAGGGUAACGGCUACCAAGGCAACGAUCAGUAGCCGACCUGAGAGGGUGAUCGGCCACAUUGGAACUGAGACACGGUCCAAACUCCUACGGGAGGCAGCAGUGGGGAAUAUUGCACAAUGGGGGAAACCCUGAUGCAGCAACGCCGCGUGAAGGAAGAAGGCCUUCGGGUUGUAAACUUCUGUCCUAGGGGAAGAAACAAAUGACAUUACCCUUGGAGGAAGCCCCGGCUAACUACGUGCCAGCAGCCGCGGUAAUACGUAGGGGGCGAGCGUUAUCCGGAAUUAUUGGGCGUAAAGAGUGCGUAGGUGGCAUCUUAAGCGCAGGGUUUAAGGCAAUGGCUCAACCAUUGUUCGCCUUGCGAACUGGGGUGCUUGAGUGCAGGAGGGGAAAGUGGAAUUCCUAGUGUAGCGGUGAAAUGCGUAGAUAUUAGGAGGAACACCAGUGGCGAAGGCGACUUUCUGGACUGUUACUGACACUGAGGCACGAAAGCGUGGGGAGCAAACAGGAUUAGAUACCCUGGUAGUCCACGCCGUAAACGAUGAGCACUAGGUGUCGGGGUCGCAAGACUUCGGUGCCGCAGUUAACGCAUUAAGUGCUCCGCCUGGGGAGUACGCACGCAAGUGUAAAACUCAAAGGAAUUGACGGGGACCCGCACAAGCAGCGGAGCAUGU
rnacentral:rRNA from 1 species